UACGAAGGGGGCUAGCGUUGCUCGGAAUCACUGGGCGUAAAGGGUGCGUAGGCGGGUCUUUUAAGUCAGGGGUGAAAUCCUGGAGCUCAACUCCAGAACUGCCUUUGAUACUGAAGAUCUUGAGUUCGGGAGAGGUGAGUGGAACUGCGAGUGUAGAGGUGAAAUUCGUAGAUAUUCGCAAGAACACCAGUGGCGAAGGCGGCUCACUGGCCCGAUACUGACGCUGAUGCAACGAAAGCGUGGGGAGCAAACAGG
rnacentral:rRNA from 1 species